GCAGAUGCCUUGGCCUUUGGAGAGUGAUCUAAAAUGGCCUAGUCGGAGAGAUGCUAAUCACAUACGCUCCAUUCCUCCUCAAAGGGCCAAAUGUAGAAAUGGGCAGUGGUCAUGCCUUGGCCAUCCUCCAUGAACACGGGAUUGGCCCCAGCUUCAAAUGAGCACUCAGCCCAGGCUCAAGACCACCCCCAACAACGCGGAUGGAGGUGCUUGCCAGUGGUCCAGUUAGUAGCAGUAAACUAAGGGAUGGGUACAUGGAUAAUCUUCUCUGGCUGACUAAUCAGUUGGAACUACAUGCAUUUCGAUUAUUAUUCAGCAAAUAUUGAUGGAGCAUCUUCUACAUUCCAGGUUGGCCUUACGAAAUCCUUUGUGUCGAUUUCACCAAGAAGUGGAGACUUUUCGGCAUCGGGC
rnacentral:lncRNA from 1 species